rnacentral:lncRNA from 1 species
CUAAUGAUCUAUCCAAGUGUUGAAUAUGAGGAAUCCUUGCUCAUUGCAGGGACCUAUCAAGCUUAACUUCGGUUUAACCUUCUUCCCAUGGUCUACCAAGGUUGGAGCUUCCCUAUAUCGAUUGUUCUUUUGGGUCUAGGCAAUGGUGAAGGAUCUUCCAUCGAAGUGUGGUGGAUCUCACUAAGGGGUUUGAAGUGUUGUUUUCUGCAAGCUUUGAUUAUAAUAUAUGAUUUAUGUCACACCCC